rnacentral:tRNA from 1 species
GGGGAUGUAGCUUAGAUGGUAAAGUGCUUUCUUAGCAUGUGAGAGGUACAGGGAUCGAUACCCUGUAUUUCCA